UUUACAGAUAAUCCAGCAAGUUUGCAGGCCAAAUGGCUUUCUGAAUGUGAGCCCACAAAGCAUUGAAUCAGACGGUGUAGUGCUUCGGAAGAUUCCAGCACAGUUCAGCCACAAGUCCACUGAGACGGAAUAAGUCAUGCCUCCUCCCUCUGGGCUGGCCCUUCCCGUAUUAUCCUCUUGCUCUUCCCUUUCCUGAAGCUGUGAUGCCAGGUCCCAAGCCAGCCUCGGGUGUUACAGGGCGAGGUAAUUUAGUGGCUGACCAUUGGGCUUCGUUACAGAGCGUGGGGGGCUACCGAGUGGUUCAAGGACAUUUAAAAGGUAUUUUUACACCAUCUCUAAAU
rnacentral:lncRNA from 1 species